rnacentral:rRNA from 1 species
UCCCUAUGGGGUGCACCAGGCGCGAAAACUUUACAAUGCGGGAAACCGUGAUAAGGGGACACCGAGUGCCAGCGUCAUACGCUGGCUGUCCGGGUGUGUAAAAUACACCUGUUAGCAAGGGCCGGGCAAGACGGGUGCCAGCCGCCGCGGUAAUUCA